GACGAACGCUGGCGGCAUGCUUAACACAUGCAAGUCGAACGGGAAGGCCCUGCUUUUGUGGGGUGCUCGAGGUGCGAACGGGUAAGUAACACGUGAGUAACCUGCCCUUGACUUUGGGAUGACUUCAGAAAGCUGGGUGUAAUACCGGAUAGGAGCUCCUGCUGCUGGGUGGGGGUUGGAAAGUUUCGGUGGUUGGGAAUGGACUCGCGGCCUAUCAGCUUGUUGGUGGGGUAGUGGCUUACCAAGGCUUUGACGCGUAGCCGGCCUGAGAGGGUGACCGGCCACAUUGGGACUGAGCUACGGCACAGACUCCUACGGGAGGCAGCGGUGGGGAAUAGUGCACAAUGGGCUGAAGCCUGAUGCAGCAACGCAGCGUGCGGGAUGACGGCCUUCGGGUUGUAAACCGCUUUCGCCUGUGACGAAGCGUUAGUGACGGUAAUGGGUAAAGAAGCUCCGGCUAACUACGUG
rnacentral:rRNA from 1 species